rnacentral:rRNA from 1 species
CACAAGCGGUGGAGCAUGUGGUUUAAUUCGACGCAACGCGAAGAACCUUACCUGGGCUUGACAUCCCGAUCGCACCUUAUGGAAACAUAGGGGUCAGUUCGGCUGGAUCGGUGACAGGUGCUGCAUGGCUGUCGUCAGCUCGUGUCGUGAGAUGUUGGGUUAAGUCCCGCAACGAGCGCAACCCUUGUCCUUAGUUGCCAGCAUUCAGUUGGGCACUCUAAGGAGACUGCCGGUGUCAAACCGGAGGAAGGUGGGGAUGACGUCAAGUCCUCAUGGCCCUUAUGGGUAGGGCUUCACACGUCAUACAAUGGUCGAUACAGAGGGUUGCCAAGCCGCGAGGCGGAGCCAAUCCCACAAAGCCGAUCGUAGUCCGGAUUGUUCUCUGCAACUCGAGAGCAUGAAGUCGGAAUCGCUAGUAAUCGCAGGUCAGCAUACUGCGGUGAAUACGUUCCCGGGUCUU